GUUGGUGAGGUAACGGCUCACCAAGGCCACGAUGCAUAGCCGACCUGAGAGGGUGAUCGGCCACAUUGGGACUGAGACACGGCCCAAACUCCUACGGGAGGCAGCAGUAGGGAAUCUUCGGCAAUGGACGAAAGUCUGACCGAGCAACGCCGCGUGAGUGAAGAAGGUUUUCGGAUCGUAAAACUCUGUUGUUAGAGAAGAACAAGGAUGAGAGUAACUGUUCAUCCCUUGACGGUAUCUAACCAGAAAGCCACGGCUAACUACGUGCCAGCAGCCGCGGUAAUACGUAGGUGGCAAGCGUUGUCCGGAUUUAUUGGGCGUAAAGCGAGCGCAGGCGGUUUCUUAAGUCUGAUGUGAAAGCCCCCGGCUCAACCGGGGAGGGUCAUUGGAAACUGGGAGA
rnacentral:rRNA from 1 species